rnacentral:rRNA from 1 species
UGGGGAAUCUUCCGCAAUGGACGAAAGUCUGACGGAGCAACGCCGCGUGAGUGAUGACGGCCUUCGGGUUGUAAAGCUCUGUUAAUCGGGACGAAUGGUUCUUGUGCGAAUAGUGCGAGGAUUUGACGGUACCGGAAUAGAAAGCCACGGCUAACUACGUGCCAGCAGCCGCGGUAAUACGUAGGUGGCAAGCGUUGUCCGGAAUUAUUGGGCGUAAAGCGCGCGCAGGCGGAUUGGUCAGUCUGUCUUAAAAGUUCGGGGCUUAACCCCGUGAUGGGAUGGAAACUGCCAAUCUAGAGUAUCGGAGAGGAAAGUGGAAUUCCUAGUGUAGCGGUGAAAUGCGUAGAUAUUAGGAAGAACACCAGUGGCGAAGGCGACUUUCUGGACGAAAACUGACGCUGAGGAGCGAAAGCCAGGGGAGCGAACGGG